CCUACGGGGGGCAGCAGUGAGGAAUAUUGGUCAAUGGGCGGAAGCCUGAACCAGCCAAGUAGCGUGCAGGAUGACGGCUCUACGGGUUGUAAACUGCUUUUAUACGGGAAUAACGCGCCUUACGUGUAGGGCUUUGCAUGUACCGUAUGAAUAAGGAUCGGCUAAUUCCGUGCCAGCAGCCGCGGUAAUACGGAAGGUCCGGGCGUUAUCCGGAUUUAUUGGGUUUAAAGGGAGCGUAGGCAGGAUGUCAAGCGUGCUGUGAAAUGUCCGGGCUCAACCCGUGCCUUGCAGCGCGAACUGGCAGUCUUGAGUCCGCGGAAGGCAGGCGGAAUUCGUGGUGUAGCGGUGAAAUGCUGAGAUAUGACGAAGAAUCCCGAUUGCGAAGGCAGCAUGCUGGAGCAGAACUGACGCUGAUGCUCGAAAGCGCGGGUAUCGAACAGGAUUAGAUACCCGAGUAGUC
rnacentral:rRNA from 1 species